CAAUAACAGACUGUGGAUUCAAUCCUGGGUCCUGCCUAGAGCAAAAUGGAUGUUAUUAUUUGUCACACAGCAGCUCUGCUUAAACACCCCGUAGAAAAGGGCAUGCUCCUGUCUGGUGAGAGCAGUCUGACAGCCUCAGAGAUCCUUUCUGGAUGCAGUGGUACCUCUACAGAUCAGAGAUUGCUUUGUUCAAUGUUGGAGCAUGUCAGAAAUUCUUCUGUGAUCCUUGGAAGUCUAAGUGGGGGGAGUGGAGAAGAAGGAGUUGCCAUAUUGCUGCAUCUGGCACCUGAUGCAACCAAGUGAAUGCUGCCUCCAGGUCUGGGUCUGGGAUUCAGCAAGGAUUUUGAGAAAUUACAGAAGCUGCAUAGAUAUAGUUACCCACUUUGCUGCCUCUCUUUGCCUGUUUUUAGAACAUUUGUCUUGGUAAAAUAUAAACUCCAAAGAGAGGGACUCUCUGCUCAUGCUGGGGUUGUUUUCAGAGAAGUUUGCCCUUCAGCCCAGGAGCUUGCACAGAGAUCAGCUUCCUUCCAUAUUUGCUGGCUUUAAAAGGACUUGCACCCUUCCCACAUGGGCCUGAGAUGGCAUGGAACUGACCUCCCCAGGUCCUUGGGAUUCUGAAAGCUUGCAGGCACCAUCACUGAAGCCCAGAGCAGAGCCAGGAGAGGCAUUUCAAGAAAAAUACCCUUUGACUUCAGCAGAAAGUGAGCUUAUUUGGGCAAUAAAUGAUUACAGCAAAUAUAGACUAAUGUGGCU
rnacentral:lncRNA from 1 species